rfam:Oryza sativa Japonica Group DNA, chromosome 2, cultivar: Nipponbare, complete sequence.
AAUAAGUGCAGUUUUAGCAUUGUUCAUGUCUAACGUUUGACCGUUCGUCUUAUUUGAAAAAAAAUUAUGAUUAGUAUUUUUAUUGUUAUUAGAUGAUAAAACAUGAAUAGUAUUUUAUGUGUGACUAUUUUUUAAAUAUUUUUUAUAAUUUUUUUAAAUAAGAUGGAUGAUUAAAACGCUCAGCACGUAUAUUUAUGGCUGCACUUAUU